CCGCGUGAGUGAAGAAGGCCUUCGGGUUGUAAAGCUCUUUUGUCAGGGAAGAAACGGCUGUGGCUAAUAUCCACGGCUAAUGACGGUACCUGAAGAAUAAGCACCGGCUAACUACGUGCCAGCAGCCGCGGUAAUACGUAGGGUGCAAGCGUUAAUCGGAAUUACUGGGCGUAAAGCGUGCGCAGGCGGUUUUGUAAGUCUGACGUGAAAUCCCCGGGCUCAACCUGGGAAAUUGCGUUGGAGACUGCAAGGCUAGAAUCUGGGCAGAGGGGGGUAAAAAUUCCACGUGUAGCAGUGGAAAUGCCGUAAAAGAUGUGGGAGGAACCCCGAAUGGCAAAGG
rnacentral:rRNA from 1 species